rnacentral:tRNA from 1 species
AGUUUAUAAAAACAUUAAAUUGCAAAUUUAAAAUUAUUUUUG